ensembl:lncRNA
CGAGGGAGGAGUGGUGGAGAAGGAAACAGUGGAAGACCAAGUGGAGUGGGGGGAAAGUGCCCUGGUGGAAGAGAUGAGGGGUAUGGUGGAGGAGCUGGCGGGGGAGAGGGUGGUAUCUCUCCACUGCCACCAUCACCAAAGAAGAGAAUGAAGAGGAGGGUGCGAUUGGCCGACAGAGGGAGGGGAUGGUCAAGAGAGUGAUGGGGGUGGGAGAAACCUCUGGGUUGCUGCUGGUUUCCCCAGGCCCUCAACUUCUGUUGGGUGGGGACACACCUAACAAGACUCAGGACUGGGUACAGGAGGAGGUGGGGAGUUUUUUGUUUGGGGACUCAGCCUCCCGAUUUUUUUCCAAACCAGCUGCAGCACUGGGGAGGGGGAGGAGUGUGGGGGUAGACCCAGGGUGCAGGGUACCCCGGAGCCAAACACUAUUCCUGCAUCCUGGGUUGGUGAGAUGGAGGGAGAGGGGGGAUGUCAGGAGUACAGAUGGUGUUCUCACCGGUAGAUAUGGAGCAGGGGAGCAUCGGGUGAGUCUCCUGUUUUUGUUUUUUUUUCUGUCUGGGUUUAGAAUUUGAGUGUAUUACAUGUUUUUAUUUUAUUCUUUCAUGGGGUCUAAUUUUACUUUUGUUACUUUAAAUGUAAGGGGUUUAAGGGAUUUUGUUAAGAGGAGGGCGGUUUUUAGUUAUUUGGAGGGUGUGGGGUUUGAUUUUUGUUUUUUACAGGAGGUUCACCUGAGGGAUGGAGGGGAUGUUAGUAGGUUUAAGAGGGAGUGGGACAAGGGGGAGACGGUUUGGGGUAUUGGGGGGGUGCACUCAUCGGGGGUAGGGAUUUUGUGUGGGCACAGGGAGGUAAAAGUGGAGGAUUCUUUUGUGGUAAUGCAGGGGAGGGUUAUAGGGGUGGAUGUCACGAUAAGGGAUUGUCAAUUUAGAUUAGUGGUGGUGUAUGGGCCACAGGUGGUGGCAGACAGGAGGGAGAUGGUGGAUUGUCUGACACCCCUGUGUGUCACAAAUAGGAAAUUGGUGAUAGGGGGGGGUUUAAUACAGAUUUAGGAAUAGGGGGGGAUAGCAGUGCAGGCGCCAUUACCGGGCUAAUGGCUUGCCAUGGUCUGGUUGAUGGUGGUCUGCACACUACUCCGAAAAUGUCCGGUCCUACAUGGCGCAACUCCAGGGGGGUUGAGCGGAGGCUCGACUAUAUUUUUGUACCCAGGUCUUUGGGUAAGUUGUCUGGGCGGCUGUUGCCUGUUUUCUUUUCGGAUCACGACGGGGUGCUCCUGCAGGUGGGGUCGCCAGUCUGCCUCUUUGGUAGGGCGUACUGGAAGUUAGAUCGGGAUGUGCUGGAGGAGCAGGCUUUUGUUGACG